rnacentral:lncRNA from 1 species
UCUAUAUAUAGAUUAAGCUUUCAGGGAUUUGGAAAUCUUUUUUUCUUUCUCUUUUUUGUUUUUGUUUUAUUUUUCCAUUUCUUUUGGUGGGGGGGAUUGUAUUUUUGCUUUCUUUAGAAAUGUAAUGUUUGUUAUACAGAACUUCCAGAACAGUAAUCAAAUUAAUGAAAUUAGACCUAAUAAUUAUGUUUUUUGAUGGUGUUGACCAAUAAAAUAAAUAUCUAGUGAUAAGGAAAUUUGUAGCAUCAACUAGAAUAAUCUACAUUGAUAGCAUUUAUUGUGAUAAGUACAUUGUUUCCACUUCUUGAUAUGACUGAGAUUUAUUUCUCUCUUUUAGAUGAAAUUGUUGAUACUUUAGGUGAAGGAGCUUUUGGAAAAGUUGUGGAGUGCAUCGAUCAUAAAGCGGGAGGUAGACAUGUAGCAGUAAAAAUAGUUAAAAAUGUGGAUAGAUACUGUGAAGCUGCUCGCUCAGAAAUACAAGUUCUGGAACAUCUGAAUACAACAGACCCCAACAGUACUUUCCGCUGUGUCCAGAUGUUGGAAUGGUUUGAGCAUCAUGGUCACAUUUGCAUUGUUUUUGAACUAUUGGGACUUAGUACUUACGACUUCAUUAAAGAAAAUGGUUUUCUACCAUUUCGACUGGAUCAUAUCAGAAAGAUGGCAUAUCAGAUAUGCAAGUCUGUGAAUUUUUUGCACAGUAAUAAGUUGACUCACACAGACUUAAAGCCUGAAAACAUCUUAUUUGUGCAGUCUGACUACACAGAGGCGUAUAAUCCCAAAAUAGUAAGUCUUCCAAAAUAUUCAUAAAGUGAGUAUCUUAUGCCUUAAUAGCUUAUGCCUUCUUAACCAUCAUUUAUGAUUUUCAGAAACGUGAUGAACGCACCUUAAUAAAUCCAGAUAUUAAAGUUGUAGACUUUGGUAGUGCAACAUAUGAUGACGAACAUCACAGUACGUUGGUAUCUACAAGACAUUAUAGAGCACCUGAAGUUAUUUUAGCCCUAGGGUGGUCCCAACCAUGUGAUGUCUGGAGCAUAGGAUGCAUUCUUAUUGAAUACUAUCUUGGGUUUACCGUAUUUCCAACACACGAUAGUAAGGAGCAUUUAGCAAUGAUGGAAAGGAUUCUUGGACCUCUACCAAAACAUAUGAUACAGAAAACCAGGAAACGUAAAUAUUUUCACCAUGAUCGAUUAGACUGGGAUGAACACAGUUCUGCCGGCAGAUAUGUUUCAAGACGCUGUAAACCUCUGAAGGAAUUUAUGCUUUCUCAAGAUGUUGAACAUGAGCGUCUCUUUGACCUCAUUCAGAAAAUGUUGGAGUAUGAUCCAGCCAAAAGAAUUACUCUCAGAGAAGCCUUAAAGCAUCCUUUCUUUGACCUUCUGAAGAAAAGUAUAUAGAUCUGUAAUUGGACAGCUCUCUCGAAGAGAUCUUACAGACUGUAUCAGUCUAAUUUUUAAAUUUUAAGUUAUUUUGUACAGCUUUGUAAAUUCUUAACAUUUUUAUAUUGCCAUGUUUAUUUUGUUUGGGUAAUUUGGUUCGUUAAGUACAUAGCUAAGGUAAUGAACA